UGGGGAAUUUUGGACAAUGGGCGCAAGCCUGAUCCAGCCAUGCCGCGUGAGUGAAGAAGGCCUUCGGGUUGUAAAGCUCUUUCGGUGGGGAAGAAAUUGCUUCGGUUAAUACCCGGAGUAGAUGACGGUACCCGCAUAAGAAGCACCGGCUAACUACGUGCCAGCAGCCGCGGUAAUACGUAGGGUGCGAGCGUUAAUCGGAAUUACUGGGCGUAAAGCGUGCGCAGGCGGUUGUAUAAGUCAGAUGUGAAAUCCCCGGGCUCAACCUGGGAACUGCAUUUGAGACUGUACGGCUAGAGUGUGGCAGAGGGGGGUAGAAUUCCACGUGUAGCAGUGAAAUGCGUAGAGAUGUGGAGGAAUACCGAUGGCGAAGGCAGCCCCCUGGGCCAAUACUGACGCUCAUGCACGAAAGCGUGGGGAGCAAACA
rnacentral:rRNA from 1 species